rnacentral:lncRNA from 1 species
UUUCAGACAGCCUAUUAGCCCCUAGCCCCCGGGAGUGGACAGCAGUGAAGAUUGGUGAAGUUUGGAUUCUCAUCCAGAAAGCCAGAAGGCUUGUGAGAACAGGAAAUGCAGCCAUUCCAUGUGCAACUUUGUAGUUGGGAGCCCAUUUACAGUAAUGGUUUCAGCUAGUCCUAAUGAUCAGUGGAAACAGCUGAGGAAGCUUCAGAAGUGUACUGCUCAUGUGCUGCUGACACAGCAUAGGUGGAUUUGUGAGAAGGGAAGUGGAGAAGGGAGGACAAUCCCUGUGUGAGAACCACCUUCAGAACAAAAGCUGAAACUUCAAAGCAGGUGAAAAAACCUCUGUAACACUUCUAAAAUGUUAUAAUAAACGAAGGGAAAAUAACA